AGAGUUUGAUCAUGGCUCAGGACGAACGCUGGCGGCGCGCUUAACACAUGCAAGUCGAACGUGAAGCCGGAGCUUGCUCCGGUGGAAAGUGGCGAACGGGUGCGUAACACGUGAGCAACCUGCCCCGAAGACUGGGAUAACACCGGGAAACCGGUGCUAAUACCGGAUACCUUCUUCCGAUCGCAUGGUUGGAUGAAGAAAUGGAUUCCGCUUCGGGAUGGGCUCGCGGCCUAUCAGCUUGUUGGUGAGGUAACGGCCCACCAAGGCGACGACGGGUAGCUGGUCUGAGAGGACGACCAGCCACACUGGGACUGAGACACGGCCCAGACUCCUACGGGAGGCAGCAGUGGGGAAUCUUGCUCAAUGGGCGAAAGCCUGAAGCAGCGACGCCGCGUGCGGGAUGAAGGCCCUCGGGUUGUAAACCGCUUUCAGCAGGGACGAAAUUGACGGUACCUGCAGAAGAAGGCCCGGCCAACUACGUGCCAGCAGCCGCGGUA
rnacentral:rRNA from 1 species